GGCUCAGAUGGUUAAGCGUCUGCCUUUGGCUCAGGUCAUGAUCCCAGGGUCCUGGGAUCGAGUCCCGCAUCGGGCUCCCUGCUCCUUGGGAGCCUGCUUCUCCCUCUGCCUCUCUCUCUCUCUCUCUCUGUCUCUCAUGAAUAAAUAAAUAAAAUCUUUAAAAAAAAAAAGAUUUAAAAACAGGAAUGAUCCACCCUGACAUCAGGAUAGUAAUUGCCUCUGAGGAGGGAAGGGUGUGAGGAGGGUCUGUCCUCAAAGAUACCAAUAUUCUUUAUAUUUUUAAAUCUGAAGGCAAGAAGGGCAGCCUACCAUUCCUUAAAUCUUGGUGGUGUGCACAGGAUCUUCAUUUGUCUCUGUAUUUUUUGAUAUACUUUACAUACACAUUUUGAAUUUUUCCACAUGCCUUUUCACUAUGUAGAGAUAGUUUAUGCUUUAAGCUAAUAACAUAAUGAAUUUUAUUAAUAAUUUAAUGAACUUUAUUAAUUUGAAUUUUGGUAUGAAACCUACUGACCCAUUUAAAAAGUGUAUUGCUGGAUUCUGUUUUCUAAUACUUUAUUUAGGAUUUUUACAUUAAUAUUCAUGAGAGUUGUCUCAUUUUUUUCUUCCUCUCUUUCGGUGCUCCCUUCAUUAGAUUUUGGUUUCAGUGUUACGCUGACUUCCUAUUUGGAGCAGUUCGAGUAUCAUCAGAAUUGUGUGUUCCUUGUAGUUUGGUAGAGUUCAUGUUUAUAACUUACUGUAUGUAUUUGAUACCAUACUUUGCCUGAAGGGUUAGUUCUUGGAUAACUGUUUUUGUAUCUAUAUGGCUGAUUGGGUUUUUGUCCCUGUCUUCAGGGAUCAGUUUGGUAUUUCUGUUUUCCUGGAAAAUCACCAGUGUUUCCAAUUUAUUGGACAAGAUAAUCCUUUAAUGUUCUUUUCGUUUCUACUACAUCUGUGGUGGUUUUCCUGUUCUCAUUCAUUACUUAGUGUAUUUGUGCUUUUUCUUUCUUUUUUUUUUUUUCUAGUUCGGGUCAGCUAAUUGCUCAGUUAUUUGGGUAUUUCUUCUUUUUUUUUUUUUUAAAGAUUUUAUUUAUUUGACAGAGAGAGACACAGCGAAAGCAGGAACACAAGCAGGGGGAGUGGGAGAGGGAGAAGCAGGCUCCUCGCUGAGCAGGGUGCCCGACGCGGGGCUCGAUCCCAGGACCCUGGGAUCAUGACCUGAACCAAAGGCAGACGCUUAAAGACUGAGCCACCCAGGCGCCCCUGGGUAUUUCUUCUUAAAGUAACCAGCUGUUCAAUUUAUUCUUAUUAUAACUACUCUUUUUUUAAUUCAGUACUUUUUGCUUUUUUCUUUAUUCCUUCCUUUUGCUUUGUUUUUCAUUUUUUUGUAACUUCUUGAGAUUGCUUAUUUUCCUUAUUACUUAUUAAUACUAGCAGUGAAAGCUAUGAAUAUUCCUUGGAUCUCAUGUGGCUCAGGACAUACUACCCCAAAAUAUGGCACACUCCUUAAUCUAUCAUAGUCCUCAACCAUUACCCACUCUUCUUCAAACCUAGCAUGAAAAUACACAGGUCUGAUUGCUUCUUUGGGUCUUCCAUUUCCUUAUGAAGGCUUCCAUGUCACGGAAAACUUAUUAAAUAAAUUUAAAUGCUUUUCUUCUGUUAAUUUUUGUCAGUUUAAUUUUUAGACCCAGCCAGGAAUCUUAAAGAGAGUCGAGGAACACUUUUUCCUGCUUUAGUUGUAUCAGAGCUUCUGAUAUGUUAGGAUUUCAUCAUUAUUUUGUACUUCUUCAUCAAUAUUCAGGUUUGAAUUCCUCUUUAUUCAGAAUUUAGAAUCUCUGGUAACUCAGACUUUCUCCAAAAAAGCGUAGAAAUGACUAACACACUAAAUUUUUCUGAUAUAUUAUGUAGCCAAAGAAAUCAUCCCCAGUGCAGGAAAUGUCCCCAGUGUGGCACCCCGGCCAUGGUGUUUAGAGAUGACAUGGGGCUAUUAGGGCUGCUUUUAAUGUGUGUGGGGCAUUGGGGAGGGGGUGAGGCUGGUCUAGAAUUACAGUCUUUCCUUUCAAUUGCCUUCAUUCCCCUGAUAGCUCAGGGCUGGAAGCUCUUACAUAAAACAAGGUAUUUUCCUUGGAAUGGCAUGCUUAAUUUUGCCAGUUCUCUUUUCAAGUGACUCACAUUUCAAGGGCACUGUGGGAUCUGCAUCAUGGGAUCUGCCUUUGGAUGUUGAAUUCAGAUUAUGUGACGGAUAGUUUUAGCUAUAUAUGGGUGUGCCCUGACAACUGUCCUGUUGUGGUAUUGUAGCCAUCAUAUUUUCAUAAUUACGAAAUAUUUUAAAUAAAUGUGUUGUUAUAAAAAUGAAUGCUAAAAAAAAAUAGAAAAUGCUAAUGUUAGUGAAAAAUGUGAUGACUCCUUCCCUUCAGUCAAAUACACAUUUGAUCAAAUAAGCAUUUGAUUGAAGGGAGUUGUCUAUGUGUUCAGCUGUAAAAGAAAAUUAAAAUUAAAGGUAUUCAUGUUGGUUUUGCAUCAUAUAAUAUUGUCUACUUCCCCGCUCCCUCCUCCGCCACAUCACCUUAGGCCUUUGGACAACUCUUCAUACUCAGCUUACUAUGCUUUUUCAGGAAUUUGUUAAAUAUCAGAGUAGAAGAUUCUGUACACUUCUUGUUUGAAUUUACUCCGGUCUGUAGGUAUGUUCAGGGUUCCAGCAGAAUUCAUGCCCAUUCUCAAGUUCUUCCCUCCAAAUUAGAGGAGAGGAGUAACCUCCCACGUUCCCAGCUGUACCGAAUCGGAAGGCCUUUAAGACGGUGUAAUGAAUGCUUACCGUUGGUAAGAUGAGAUGUGCUGUCACUGUUCACUUCCAGGGCUGGACCAGGGUGGGGCCAGCACCUCACAAGAUGAGGCCUUGGACGCAGGACUCAUUCUUGCUCUUGUGCAUGUUCGGAGUUGGCAACUGCAUGGUUGCGACCCUGAGAGGCAGCACCCCCUCAAAUUUUGUGCACUGGGACCUUGGUUUGCCUCACCCUAGUCCCAGCCCUAUCCAGUUCCUCUGCCUGUCCAUGUUUCCUCCUUCUCCAGAUACCAUCUCCGUGAGCUUGUUUGUCCUCAGGGUAACUUAGAAGCCACCCACUUGUCCAUCCCAGUGUCCAGAUAACUUUUGCUCACUGCUGACCAGAACUGGGUGAGAACCAGUAAUUGUUACUGACUGGUUGAGAGAUGAUGCCAGUGCUGCUUGUCAGGGUUACGUACUCUGUAGUGAAGAUCUGUUCCUGGUCGCUUAUUUCUAAAUUCAGUCCUCCAUGAUCCCAUUAGGACAGAGGAGGCUGGUAGAUGCGGUGACCCUCGAUCUCCAGCAGGAUCAAGGUGCUCCUCAAAAUAUGGCUUGGUGGUAGACGUGUGAUGUUCUUUCUGCCCACCCUUGUCAUUUUCGAGGCAACUAAAACCAGGGGUUUCUUGGAAGUAGCAGAGGAGCUGUUGUCAAUGAAAUGGAAGCAGUUUCCUUAGAACUUUCCAAGAUUUAUAUACUACUGUGUUUUCAGGUCAAACGAUAGAUUAGCUUUUACAUCAAACCUGGUUGAGUGACUAUGAAGAAUAAUUUGGAAAGUCUCUAAGGCCUGUGAAUGCUCACACUAGUUUAUUUUUAUUUACGUGGGAGAAUGGGGAAGGAAUUUUAAAAAGGGAGCAGUAUGCUGUGCCCAAACUCUCUUACUAUUUACUACCCCCUGAGACUAGUUGCAUUUUGAACUAGGUGCAGGGAUGAACGUAUGUGGUCAGUUUAUCAGUUCGGUACUGCUGUGUCACAAGCGAUCUCUAAAUUUAGUGGCUUAGUGGGUCCUUCCUCAAGUGGUGCAAGUAGUUAGUGACUCCCGUGCUCGCUUCCCAUUGGACUUCCUUCAGAGUGUGAUCCACAUUUCUCCAGUCUGAGUGGAGUUUUCGCUGUCUAGUCAACACUUCCGUGUUUUAGGCUCUCUACUCUCCCCACGUGGAAUUCUUUCUUCUUCUUGGUUGUGACCCAUGUCCUGUGGAUUCAUUAGGAGGUGCCUUAAGUUUUCAGUCUCUUUAAAUACCUCUCUUAAUUCUUCAUUCUAUCUCAGAUACUUAGUGAAUGCCAGUUGUAGAAAUGACACCCCUUGGGUGGGUCAGGAAUGGGCAUGUGGUCCCUUCCGGCCGGUGAGAGGUCAGGGGAAGUCCGCUAGAAGAGUGCGGGGAAAAGCUAGAAGAGAAGACAGUUUGUCUCGUUCUUUUCAACGUUGUUUGGCCUGGAACUAUGGCCUCCAUCUUGCUGCCAGCGCAGGGCGGAGCAAGAUGGGCAGAGGCGAGGUCCUUGACAUUGUUAAGCCACUGAAGCAAUCAACUCUGGAGUCUCCACUAUCCUGGCGUCAGGUGGAAUACAAGAUUUUUGUAUUUGAACCAACUUCAGACCCAAAGCUUUCAAUUGCAACAGAGAACUUGUAACCGCACCCAUGGCCCUCUGCGUAGUAUUGCAGUUCUAGAAUGUAGGAUUUGGCAUCUGAUGGACUCUUAACUUUGUUUUGGUGCCCACGUAAUUAUAUCAUUUAAUCCUUCUAAUAUAAUCAUUUCAUAGAUUAAGGAAACUGAGGUUCAGAGUUAACUGAGCUUGUGAGUAGGGCCUGAAAUAAAAUCAGAUUUAUUUGGCCCAGCUUCUCAGAGCCUCAUUAUUUAAUGUGAAAAAUGGGCUACUCUAUAAUGCCAACCUCCUAGGGUUGUUGGGAGAUUAAAUGAGAUAAUUUAGAGCACUUCAACACCGGGUCUGUUACACAGGCAUCGUCAAUAAAUAGCUGCUACUGUUUUAUUAUUCCUGUUGCUGUUAUUAUUCCCUCCUCUGUGCUCACCACUUUACUAUGGUGUCUGGCAUGGUUUAGGCCCUUCGUAAGUAUUUGCUGACUCAUGAAUGAUUCAAUGGAUGAUUUCUCUGAUUCUGUUAAUUAUAGUGCUCAGGCAUAUCGUCCCUCACCACGCAUGCUAUUUCACUGCUUCACUAAGGUUUCUGGUCUCCCCAGGGACAUUGACAUUCAUGUUCCUUGACAGUAGGGAGCAAAUCUCACCCUUUGCAAUUCUCUUUACUACCUGGUUCAGUGGUAGGCAUUUGAAGUUUAUUAAAAAUUAAAUAUUUGCCAUAUUAAGAAGUGUUUUUCAAGAACUUUGUUUGGAACAGCUGGCCACUUUCAUUGACUCUCAACAUUUUCAGAGGAAUCGAAAGUUUUGUAAAGUAUCCCAUUGUUACCAGUUUUUUGGGCCCGAUUAAUAGAUUGAAGAGAAUUUAUUUUAUGGAUCACUUCUGAAAUUCCUAUUUGCCUUAUAUAGCACUUUAUACCUGAGGAACUAAAAAAAAAAAAAUUCUUUAUAAAGAUUUCCUUUACUCGUCAGAUUCUCAGUGAGACACGAAAAGAAUUAUAGUGCCUCCAUCUCAUGAGUUUGUUAAUAACUUUUUUUUUUGCUUCCUGAGAGACAACUGAGUCUGAUUUUGAGUCUGAAUUUCUUUUUUUUUUUUUUUUUAAAGAUUUUAUUUAUUUAUUUGACAGAGAGAGACACAGCGAGAGAGGGAACACAAGCAGGGGGAGUGGGAGAGGGAGAAGCAGGCUUCCCGCUGAGCAGGGAGCCCGAUGUGGGGCUCGAUCCCAGGACCCUGGGAUCAUGACCUGAGCCGAAGGCAGACGCUCAACGACUGAGCCACCCAGGCGCCCCUGAGUCUGAAUUUCUGACUUCUAGCUUAUGCUUAUGCCCUACAUUAUACCUUCUCUCAGGAACUAUAAGUCCGUAGUCCUUCUUAGGACAGCACAAACUACCUUGUAGGGGUAGUUUACGAUAAAUGUGGUCGGAACAGCCCAGUAAACUACAUUUCUCUGUUUUAAUCUAUUGCUUUACUCUUGUAAUAAUCUUUUCCCCCCUCCCCAAUACAGUGAGUGCUAUACCAUAUAAUUUUGCUGUAUUUGUAUUACCCAUAAAGAUGGAAGGGUUGUCAUUCUGUCUGUCUGCUUAAGUAAGUUAACGGAUGCUUUUGGAGCCUGGCUUUCUCUUUUUUAGGUUUUUAUGAAGAAUGGAUAAGCAUUUUUUGGUGAGAAUGAAAUCUGAUUUGCUAAUAAAGAUAUAGGGUUGUAAUAUACAAUUGCCUUUUAUUUCUAAGUAUAUUGAAGACUUAGUGCAACACUGUCAAGGUGGUGUUCAAGGAGAUCACGGGUCUUUUUGGUCUUAGGGUCCAUGGCUAAAAAAGACCCAAGAGCCUUUGAAAUACCUUGAUAUUUCUUUGCUUUCUUUUAAUUGCUCAUCUUCUUGAAAUAAUUCUCCCACAAUCAACAUUCAACAAAUAUUUACUGGGCAUACGCUCAGUAAAUGAUGUGACUGGGGCCCGACUUCUUAAAAAAAAAAAACCCCAAGAAACCCCGAUUUCAUUUUCCUGCCCAUCGCUUUACUAUAAUCUGACUUUUCAAAAGUGCACAGUGGCCUUCUUAAACCCAGUGGCGUACCAGUCAGGGGAGUUGAUUCAGGAAGACAGAAGCUAUUCUGUUUUCCAAGGCAUAGAUGGCUUACUCCCCAGCGAGCUGUUCCUAGGGAAGCGCGGAGAAGCUGGCGUGGAAGGUGGAGGCCUGAGCGAGGACAUGGCUUCUAAACCACACGGGAGUGCGCUCCUCUCCUUGCAGCCCCCCCGGGGGGCUGUCCAGGCGAAGGGGCGCUGAGACAGGAUUUGUGGCCCCCGCCACACUGUGGAGCGGGCGAGGUGACAGCCCCAGGUCCAGCACCAGAGGCCCUCCCCAGUCUUCCUUCUCCUCGGUCCUCCUUCCGUGUGUGACCCUGUGACUCCUUUCACCGGCUUGGAGCUUGUCUGCCUUGCCUUGCAUCAGAGUUUCUCUCUCGGCUUUUGUCUCCUUCCCCUUCAUUUGUGGCCAUUCUCCCAGCCCACCUGUGUCUUAAAGCUUUGGGUCACACCUCGGAAGAGCUUUGUCCUCGUGUCUUUGUUCUUCACCGUGUUGUCUCCUUUUGGGACUCUGGCUGCCCUCAUGUCAGUGGUCAUUCCUUUGUGUUGGCAUGCCUCCCCGUUGGAAAUAUGUUCCCUGACAGCCAAGUCCCCUGUUGGAAAUACGUUCCAUAGACAGCCAAGUCCCAGCCAUUCAUUCUCUUAGCAGCUUCCUCCCUUACUAAAUAUAUUAGGUAGACAAUGAAAGUCUCUUGCAGUUUCUACUCAAAAGACGUUAUAUUGUUAACCGGAUGUUAUGGAUUUGUUCCCUUUCCUAAAAAAAAAAAAAUGCAUGUAGUGACACACUUAUUCUUUGUAAACCAAACGGGAUAAUAUUAGACAUAGUUUAUAGCUUAAGCUUUUCACUUAAUAUCUUAGAUAUCUUUCCCUAUUAGUUCAUGUAGCUUUAAUGCACGCUUUUAAUUAAUAGCAUUGGAUAAAAGUUUCUUAAGAGUAUUUACUUGUAGUAUUUGUGUUUCUGUCAAUAGGCAUUGGGAUUGUUUCUAGUUUUUUGCUCUAGUAAAUGAUACCCCAGUGACUGUCCUUAUAUGUACAACUUUGUGCGCUUUUAAAUUUAAGUAUUUUAUUUUGAAAUUAUUUUAAUCCUACAGAAAAAUGGCAAAAAUGGUACAGAGAACUCUGGCUUACUCUUUAUCCAGGCUCACCAAGUAUUUUGAACAUUUUUGCUGCAUUUGCUUUAUCAUUUUCUCUUUUGUUCUCUUUCGAAAAUUUAUAACUUUGUUUGCUGAACCAUGUGAGAGUUGCAUACCUUCUGUCCCCUCACCCCACGUCACUUCAGCGUGCAUGUUCGAGAACAAAGUUGUCUUCUUCUCCAACCACAACACGGUUUCCAGACGCGCAGAACUGAUGUAGCACUUUAAUCUGCUGUCAAUGUGGCACUUGGUCAGUUGCCCCCGUGAUGUCCUUUCCUUCCUCCCGUGGAGGGUUCCGAGCUAAGUAUUGCACUUAGUUGUCAUGUCUUCUUUCGUUUCCUUUAAUUUGGAACAUGGACCAUCAGUCUUUUAUGACCGUGACAUUUCUGAAGAGUACAGAUCAGCUGUUUUGUAACAUGGUCCUCGGUGUGGGCUUGUCGGAUGCUAUGCCGUGAUUGGACCCCUGGCUCUUCAUUCCGGGCAGAGGGUCCCACUUGCGCUGUGUUAUGUUGUACCCUUUUCCUUUGUCGCAGCAGGGAUGCAUUGGGUCCUCUUCUGCCUUGAUCAUGCUGUGUUUGAUCACUCAAAGUGUCGUCUUGUUUCUCCAUGUGUUUCGUCACUCGUGUCUUCUAAAUCUCAUGUGAGCUCCUCUCGUCGCCGGCUCACCUGGAACCAUCCAGACAAAGACGUUAUGAGCGAUGAUGCUCCGUUUUACCUUGCGGCUAACAAGCAGUCUGUGGGGAGACACUUGGAGAACAUAAAAAAGUCCUGUUCCCUAGCAGAUUUCCCCUUAGAUUUCGCAUCCACGAUGCUCGCACUUUUACCUGCUCUCAUCUUUGCUCUGUAGAUUGCAGAAUAUGAUUUUCUGUCUUUCCCGUUCUCCUUGCUUUUAUUCCUCAUCAUGGUGUAAGGACGAGCCUGCCGCUGUCCCCUAUUUUUAUAUAUCUGUUUAUUAUCAUUGUGGCUGAUAAGCUAUUACUGUCCUCUGGGUCCUUAAGUUCUGACCCCUUCGGUGUGCGAGAUUUCUUUGCAGAAUAAAUUUCUAGAUGUGAAAUUGCCGUCUGUGUACAUGUACACUUUUCAUAGGUAUUUUCAGAUUUGCCCUCACAAAGUGCAUUCAUUCCCACCAGCAGUGUUUGAGAAUGCUUCUUUCCUCACAGCUCUGCUGAUUCUGGGGUCUGCAGUCUUCCUGUCUUUCCUGAUCUGACAGGGGUGGGGUGGGUGGAGAGCCACAUUGUUUUAAUGCACAUUUCUUGAACUGUUAGAUUGGAUUCUUUUAAUAGCUUCCUUGGAAAAUGUUUUUCUCAUUUUUAAAUUGGGUUGUCUCUUUUCUUAUGAUCUGUAAAAGCUCUUAUUUAAAUAAUUAGAGCAGUUAGUCAUUUGCUAAUGUACUAUAUAUACAUUUUUUCCAUAUAGAUUUUACAGAGUUUUGUGGUGUUUAAUGUUUUGAAUUUUUAUUUAAUGAAAUUUCCCAGUCUUUUCUCUUAUGCUUCUGGGUUUUGUCAAAUGCCUAGCAAGGCCUUCUCUGUGUGAGGAUUAUGAAAAUAUCCUUCUAUUUUUUUCUAGUCUUUUUAAUUUUUUUUAAAGAUCUUAUUUAUUUAUUAGAGAGAGAAAGCGUGAGCAGGGGGGAAGAGGCAGAGGGAGAGGGAGAAGCAGGCUCCCCGCUUAGCAGGGGGCCUGAUGUGGGGCUCAAUACCAGGACUCUGUGGGAUCAUGACCUGAGCUGAAGACAGAUGCUUAACCCAGCUGAGCCACCCAGGCGCCCCUCUAGUCUUUUUUAAAAGAAAUUAUUUUAUACAUGUAAUCUUCAAGUCAUCAGGAAUAUAUUUUCCCAUUAUUAUUUCACAUGUUCAAGGUCAAACUCCUUCCCUUUCCUUUGCAAAUCAAUUGUACCUUCCAGUGAUGUUUGUACCAUUCUAAUUAACACCAUGCAGGUGCAGGGUCUCCUUUGACUCUUCUCUCAUCAAAAGCCUUUUUCCUUGGCUCUUGCCAAAAGACAUCCCCCUUGUUCUUAACCUUAAUCUUUGACUCCGCCUACUCUGUUUUUUUGAUUGGUCUUCUUUUAACUCUUUAAAUAUGAGUGUUUUUCAAAAUUCUGUGUUAAGUAGGGGCCAUGUACCUUGCUGCCAGUGUGUCAUGUGGGCCAGCCACAAUGCUUGGCACAUAGAGAAGUUGAGUUUCUUGAAUGACUAGGUAUCAGUGGGUGAAUGUACUUCUGUCCUUGUUCUCCAGCUACUUUCACCAUACUUCCACGCUGACAUUCAGAUACUACCUCCAAAAUAAAAUGUCCCAAAAUAGUCUCAUGCAGUAAACAUAGGAUAUUUAAACAAGAUAUUUUAUGACAUUCUCAUGAAGAUCCUGGUGAAAUAUGGACUAACUUUUUGUUAGGCAUAUUAGUAAUUGAGUGACCAUCCCCAAAAGGUGUCUGCAAGGGAGGAAGGGAUUGGUGGAGCCUGGAGGAGGUUUCUUUGGGCUUGUUCUAGGAUUUUCAGAUUAGCAGAUAGGAUAGAGUGGGGAAGGAUCAAGUACAUGGCAGAUUACCAUGCGUUGUGCAUUUGGAUGAAGUAAGGAACUAAAUGAAAUCUAAUGCAAUAAUAUAAGGCCUUGUAAAAGGUUCUAAAAACCUAUCAUGUAAGUACAGUAUUGCCUGGUGGAAAUGUAAGGGGAAAUGACUUAGAAGUUUUAAUUGAUAAUUUGGGUUUAACAUAAGUAGAGUGUGAUCUUAUUUCUGAAAAUGUUAAGGUGCCCCUGUCUGAUCAGGGGAGUAAGGUCUGAUUUUUCCUGUGAGAAAUUAUAUUUAGAAUAUUAUAUCUGGUUUAGGAAUGCCAGUCCCCCAGAGCUCAUUCAGAGCUAAGGGCAUAAGGGAUUGUGACUGGGAACUACAUCAUGGGAGGAAUGGUUGGUGAGAAGGCGAAUGCUUAGCCCAAAGAAGAGGAUAUUUCAGGGGGCAGGGAGUUUCUCAUAAGUGGGUGAUCAUAUGAUUUACUAUCCAAAGCAGGACUCUUUGAGAGUGAAAGAGGUCAGUAUUAAUAAUUAUGCUGGGAUGAUGGGCAUGGGCAAGUGGAAACAUAUGGUCGCCUACUUAUAAUCUUCAAAUAUUUGAAGGUCUCUUACAUGAAAGAAAGAUUAGACCUCAUCUGUGGGAGAGAGUGGGCCAGUCAGUGCACACAACUACCAGAAGACAUGUGUCUUUCUCCUUAUAAUGAGCCACAAUCUAGUUCUGAUUCUUUGUUGGGGAAUGGGACGGACUGCUUUACAAGGUGGUAUGUUUCUCAUCACUGCGGACGCCAAGAAUUUGUAUAGCUGCCCUUUCUAAGUCUUGAUAAUACACAGCUGAGAUAAAUCCGUUUGUACCAACCCAUCAAAUAUUUGUGUAUGUAUUCCUUCCAGGUACUAUGCAAAUGUCCAUUUUCUCAUUACGUUUGGCUUAACCAUUUGUAUACUCAUGACCCUGCGCCGUUCCCUGGAGAAGGUUCGGAUCCCCAUCUCUGAGGGCUGUUAUGGUAGACCUCAUUCUGCGGUCGUGGGAUCUCUUCUCCUGCUGCGGAAUCUGGCCAUUCCCUAGUAGGGCGUCACCCCUCCUGCCCAUUCCCCAGAAUGUGGGGGGGCUGUCAUGCCUUUUGUCUCUGGCCUUCCCCACUUUCAGCUCUUCUGUCACCUGGGUGGGGGCAGGUGUCCGUAAGUCCUGCUGUCACCUCUGCUGCUACUAUCUUAUUCAACUUGUGCAUCUCUUUUCCUAAAUACCCUUCUGUUACAUGGCUUAUCUCUGUGAGUCUUGGUUUUUAUGCUAAAUAAAAGAUGUACCUUCUCUUCCUCAGGCCAGAGCCAUCUCUUAAACUUUAAGGUGCACAAACUUUGGAUCUGUUCCUUUUUUCCUGUGGGUGCCGUGGUCAUUCCUUGGGUUCCGCAGGGCACUUAGUCUGUGCCUGAUUCUUUGAUACCUUGUGUAGCCCUUCACAACAGCUCCAAGAGGCAGAUGCCACUGUUUCCGUUUCAUUUUCUUUUUUCUUUUUUUUUAAGGUUUUAUUUAAGUCAUGUCUAUACCCACAUGGGGCUCGAACUCACAACCCCAAGAUCAAGAGUCACAUGCUCUUCUGACUGAGCGAGCCAGGUGCCCCAACUGUUUCCAUUGUAUAUGUGAGGUUUAGAAAUGUUCAUCUCUGCUGGAGGUGACCGAGCCACUAGGCGUGCAAGCUGGAUCCAAGCCCGGGUCUCUUCCUUUGUCCACAUAUUUAUUUAUUUGUUCGAGCAACAUGUGAGUGCCCGCAUCAUGCCAGCCGCCUUCUUCCCCAGAUUCAUAGCAAGUCUCCUUCCCUUCUCCCCACAGCCACACACUGGAGGGCACUCUUCUGUACCCUCGGGCUGCCAGAUUUCCUCCUGCUUGGUCAGUAAGACAGACCCAGCCACUGUCCCCAUGUUGGUUGGCGUCUAGUUGAGUAAACAGAUAGAGAAUAGGAGUUUUCUUUUAAAUGUCACGAUAUUAAGAACAGAAGUACAGAGUGUAGCAGCAACAUGCUGGGUGGCCCUUGACUUACUCUGGGAGUCAGGGAAGCUUCCCAGGGUAGCUGAGGAAGUGACGUUUACUUGGAAACCUGAAGGGUAAUAGGAGUUAGCGUGAAAGGGGUGGGAUGAGACUGUUUGGGGGACAGAGGAAAGUGCAUGUGCAGAGCCUCUGGGCAGGGAGAAACUUGAUGCCUUGGAGGUUCAGAAAGAAUCCGUGUGUGUGUGUGUGUGUGUGUGUGUACACGCGUGCAUGAGAGGGAGAGAGAGAAGGAGGCUUGAUAGGAGACUGGGGGUUAGGCAGGGGUUAGAUCAAGGUCUUGGUAGUUUAUGCUGAGAGCAAGGUAUUUUUUUCUUUUAACUGCAUGUGUGUUUUGAAUAGGUAAAACAGUCACAUAAGGGGAUUUUCAAAGGACAGCAAAGGGUAUGGCAGUGUCGCCUCCUGCCCACCUCCAGUUCUCUUCCCUGGAGACACCUGUAGUUUCACUUCCUGUGUGUCCUUACAGAGAUGUCCUGUGCACGUACAGGCAAAUACACAGUGAUUUAUUUUUCCUCACCCUUUUUUUUUUACACAAACAGCAAAAUAUUAUAUAGACUGUUCUACACAUGUUAACGAUUUUAGAUCUUGUUCCCUGGCAGUAAAGAAAGAGCUACUUUGUUGGACUGCAGCCCUCCUAGGAGCUUCCCGGGUGUAAUCUGAAACCGGCCUCCGUUCGUGGAAGGCAAGGAGAGACCCAAGAAAGUGGCAGGCUGGUAGGUGGCAAUUUUCAUAAGCAAAGGGAACUUCUAUAUAAGGCUUACUUGGGCAGCAGCAAGAUGAAUGGAUCCCUGCACCCGCCCGCCAAACCUUACAGGCCUAUAUAGAGGCCUUACUUGGGUUCAGUCAUGUAUAUGGUGCAGAUGUUCGCAACACCACAUCACUAUCGCAAGGCUCUGUCCUGGGAGCAGCCUCUGGGAGCAAGAAAGGCAAGUGGAACCUGCUUUCUAAGGACAGCAGAGGCGGUGGGGACCCUCUGAUGGCCCAGGUCCAGUUCAUGGGUCACUUGGCAGUUAUGUCUUUUUGAUGACCUCUCUCCACAUAGUUUCAUUCUUCUGUAUAGUUGCAUGGUAUUCUGUUGCAAAUAUAUACUCUGAUAUAUCUAACCAGUCUAUGAGAAGUAGAAAAAAGAUUGAUCGGGAGGGGCAGUAUUGCAGAGGUGGGAAAUAACUAGGAAGCCAUUAGUAUUUCAGGCAGGAAGUGAUGUUGCCUUGAAUUCAAAUAGUGGGGGUGGAGCUUAUGUGAUCAGUGGAUCUACAACAAAGGAGGAAAGAAUAUACAAUGGGAACAAAACAAUCUUUCUUAUAAAUAUUUCUGGGAAAACUGGACAGCUCCAUGCAAAAGAAUGAAACUGGGCCACUAUCUUACAGGUAGACAGAAAUAAACUCAAAAUGGAUUAAAGAUCUAAAUGUGAGACCUGAAACCAUAAAACUUCUAAAAUAAAACAUAGGCAGUAAUCACUUGGACAUUGGCCUUACUAAGACAGACAUAUUUAUGGAUAUGUCUUUGUAGGCAAGGGAAACAAAAGCAAAAAUAAAUUAUUGGGACUAAACCAAAACAAAAAGCUUUUACACAGCAAAGGAAACCAUCAACAGAACAAAAGGCAGUCUAUUGAAUGGGAGAAGAUAUUUGCAAGUGACGUAUCUGAUAAGGGGUCGAUAUCCAAAAUAUAUAAAGAACUUAUACUCAACGCCAAAAAUUCCAAACAAUCCAAUUAAAAAAUGGGGAGAGGACCUGAAUAGACCUUUUUCCAAAGAAGACAUAUAGGGGGCCAACAGACACAUGAAAAGAUGCUCAACAUCACUCAUCGUUGGGGAAAUGCAAAUCCAAACCACAAUGAGAUACCACCUCACACCUGUCAGACUAGAAAGACAAGAAACAACAAGUGUUGGCAAGGAUGUGGAGAAAAGGGAACCCUUGCGCACUGUUGGUGGGACUGUAAAUUGGUGCAACCACUCUAGAGAACAGUAUGGAGGUUCCUCAAAAAAAAAAAAAUAGAACUACCAUAAGAUCCAGUAAUUUCACUACUGGGUAAUUUUUUUUUAAAGAUGUUUUAUUUAUUUGAGAGAGAGAGACAGAGAUAGCGAGAGAGAGUGUGAGUGGGGAGGAGAGGGAGAAGCAGGCUCCCUGCUGAGCAGGGAGCCCGACUUGGGGGCUCCAUCCCAGGACCCUGAGAUCAUGACCUGAGCUGAAGGCAGACGCUUAACCUGCUGAGCCACCCAGGCGUCCCUCAUUACUGGGUAUUUAUCCAAACAAAAUGAAAACACUUCGAAAAGAUACAUGCAGUGCUGUGUUUAUUGCAGCAUUAUUUACCAUAGCCAAGAUGUGGAAGCAACCUAAGUAUCCAUUCAUAGAUGAAUGGAUAAAGAAGAUGUGGAUAAAGAUGUGUGUAUACACACACACACACACACACAUAUAGUGGAAUUUUAUUCAGCCAUAAAAGAGAAUGAAAUCUUGCCAUUUGUGACAACAUGGAUGGACCUAGAGGGUAUUAAGUGACAUAAGUCAGACAGAGGGACAAAUACCAUAUAAUUUCACUUAUAUGUAGCAUCUAAAAAACAGAACAGAUGAACAAAUAAAAAACUGAAAAAACAAACUUAAAUACAGAGAACAAAUCAGUGGUUGCCAGAGGGGACGUGGGUGGGGAUAAGGGCGAAAUAGGUGAAGGGCCUUAAGAGGUACAGAGUUCCAGUUAUAAAAUAAAAUAAGUCAGAUGAGAAGUACAGCAUAAGGAAUAUAGUCAAUAAUACUAUAAUAACACUGUAUAGUAACAGAUGGCAACUAUACUUAUUGUGGUGAGCACUGAGUAAUGUAUAGAAUUGUUGAAUCACUAUGUUGUACACCUGAAACUAAUUAGAAUGUUGUAUGUCAACUCUACAACAAUAAUUUUGUUAAAAUGUGAAGAGAAAUGGUGGUGGAGAUAAGAGCUCGAGUGUCUGUAUAUUGGAGAGAUUUAGUGUUAAGCAGCAAGAGGAUCUGUUGAUUGAUGGCAUAUUAGGGGUGAAACACAGGGAUGUCUUCCAGCCUUUCAAGCUUGAGCAGUUGGGUGGACAGUGAUGUUAUUUUACAAGUUGGUUGACAUGAAACUUUGUAAAGGCAAGGUUGAGUUUAAUUGUACACUUGUUGAAUUUAAGGAAUUUGUGAGAUGUGCAGAUGGAGAUGCGAAGUUGUCAUUUGACUAUUGGAGUCUAGAGCUCAGAAGAGAGGAUUAGUCCUAGGAUAUAAAUUUGGGAGCUAUUAUUGUAUAGUGAUGCACAGUUACAACUAUGGUAAUUCACAUUUUGGGAAUGCUUGAGAUCACCCUGAUCAGUGACCUGGUCAAAAUGUUGAUGUGGUGGAAAGUGCUUAAAAAAGGCAUGUCCUUUUAGACUUUGAGAUAAUGAUACACAGUUGAUCCUGGAACAACAUGGGUUUGAACUGCGUGGGUCUGCUUACAUGUAGAUUUUUUACCGUAUGGUACUGUCAAUGUGUUUCUCUUACGAUUUUCUUAACAUUUUUUCUCUAGCUUGUUUUAUUGUAAGAAUACAGUAUAUAAUUUUUAUAUAUAAUCUCUCUUUAUGUAUAUAUAUGUGUAUAUAACAUACUAAAUAUGAGUUAAUUGACUUUAUGUUAUCGGUAAGGCUUCUGGUCAACAGUAGGCUAUUAGUAGUUAAGUUUCUGGGAGUCGAGUUAUGCACAGAUUUUCAAUUGCAUGAGGCUCAGUGUUGUUCAAGGGUCAACUGUACCCAGUUCUGUAAGGUUGUUAGUAAAGUCUCCUGAAUGAGUUUGUAGAGAUGAUUACAGUUUGUUGUUUGAUAACAAUUAGCACAUGAAUUAGAAUUUAACUUUUCGUGUGCUGCUAAGAAGUUGGCUCUUUUUUUUUUUUUUUUUUAAGAUUUUAUUUAUUUAUUUGCUAGAGAGAGUGAGAGUAUACAAGCACAAAGAGGGGCAGGCAGAGGGAGAAGCAGACUCCCCGCUGAGCAGGGAGCCCGACACAGGACUCGAUCCCAGGACCCUGGGAUCAUGACCCGAUCCGAAGGCAGCCUCCCAACUGAAUGAGCCACCCAGGCGCCCCAAGAAGUUGGCUCUUACACAACUUCACAAAGCGUAUUUAUUUCAAAUGCUUAACAGUUGGAAUUCUGCAGUUUUUUUUCUAGCCACUCAUUUACUCAUGUUAACAUGUGUUGAGUUCCUACCUUGUUCUGGAAGGAUGUUCAUAUUUAGUGUUCUCUGGAGGUAGUCAUUGUUCCCAUUUGCUUCUUCUGCUUUGUAAUCAUUAAUUUCAGUUACCUGAGUGUCAUUAACUUCAACUGAGUUCUCUGAGUUAUUUUAACAAAGUGUAGCGAUGCACGUUUCCAGCAAUGGUAUUUCUUACCCAUAUUUUCUAGUAACAAAACUUCAGACCUAUAUGAAUUGUGGUUAAAAUAUGAACUGUCCCAUAUAUGUGCUUAUUGCUAAAUAGGGAAGUAAAUACAAUAGUCCUCUCAGACUUUUCUUAUAUAGCCACAAGUGUCUUAGUCCUGAGUUCUUUUUCCAAGAAAGAGUAGCAAUGGGAGGUGGAGGACGUGGCUUGUGAGGAAUUUAGCUCCUUCAAGGUGGCUACCUUAGUCAAAGAAAUUUCAGAGCCAUUGGCCUAGUAUAAUGGCUAUCAACUCUGACUUAAGCAGUAACUUAAAAAAACAAAAACCAAAAACCAAAUUAUACAUGCUUUGUCCUUACCCUAGAAAGAAACCAUACCAAACCAAAAAAAUUUUAGACAUUGAAACCAUUAUGAAAAACAAAAACCACUAUAUAACUAUGUAGGAACUAUGAGUAUUCUGGUAGUUAAAGUAUCAUAGUUUUGUAAGGAAAACAGGGUGGUAGAUGCAAAGCCUAACAUUUGAUAGAUAUAUUCCCUCUUUUGAGAGUCCUAACUUUCUAAAAAACCGUUUUAACCACAUUAAAACUGAAUUCUUUCUCACAACUCAGUAAUAAGAAUACCAACAACCUAGUAAGGGUCAGGCAAAAGAUUUGGGCAGACUCUUGACCAAAGAAGUUAUACUGAUGAAAAAAAAAUGCAUGAAAGAUGCUCAGUAUCAUUUGUCAUUAAGCUGCAAAUUAAAACCGAGUGAGAUACCACUGCACAGGAGGGGCUAAAGCAAGCAAACAGCAAGCAGUUGCUAACCCCCAGCGCCGGUGACGAUGUGUGACCGCUGGGACUCUCCGCCAUUGCUUGUGGGGAUGAGCAUGGUGCACGCACUUUGGGGAGCAAUGUAACCUACCUUUACCACUCAAUCCCACAUUCCCACUCCUAGGUUUUUAUUCAAGAGAAACGAAAGCAUGUGUCCAUUGAUGACUGAGUGGAGAAACAAACUGGCACUUCUAUACCAAGAUUCUACUCAAUAGUAAAAAGUAACAAGCUGUUAAUACAGGAAACAGCAUGGAUGAAUCUCAAAUGCAUUAUGCUAAAUCAGUGUCUGUCAACCUUUUAAAAAUUACUACACUACUCCAGCCUUUUCAGAUUUUUUUCCCCCUAAGUGCCCAUUUCCUUCGUGAAAUUUUAAUGCCACAGAUACGUUUUCUAUUGUGCUGGGGCCCUUUGGAGAACCUAGACCAGUGUAAUAUCUAAGGUUUUUGCACCUGCCAGGAACCAGUUUUUACCUCCUGGGGACAGUAUUGCCCUCACUACUCCGUUGAGAAUUCAUGGGCUAAGUGAAGGAAGCCAAAUUCAUGGAUUUAUAUGCCAUUCUAGAAAAGGAAAAAUUAUCAAAUCACAGGAAAGGUCUGUGGUUACCAGGUAGGAGGGGUCACAGAGGAGUAUGAGGGAACUUUGGGAGGUGAUGGAAAUGUUCUGUUCCUUAAUCAUGGUGAUGGUUGUACUGUAGGAUGAAUUUGUCAGAAUUACUAGAUUGUACCCCAAAAGGGUGAAUGUUAAGGUAUUUACAACCUUAAUAAGCCUGCCUUUCCCAAACAUAGCUUCCUGGGUUAAACCUGGAAGGGUUUUUGGGAAGUAAGAAGAUUGGAAGCAUCAGAGGCCAAUUAUUUUGGAAUCUACCAUCACGAAGUGUGGUCUGUAUGCUGAGAGAGUCACAUAUGAAAUCAUAAAUAACCCAUAAAGCUUUCUGGAAACACACAGAUGUGUACACACACAAACACACACACACACACAAACAAUGGGAAAUCCAGGGGGCAGUGAAAGAAUAGUGUAAGUGGAGGUUGUCUAGGGAGUCAUUGAGGGCUUGAUGACCCAGACUCCUGAGGACAGGGGCUAAUCUAGAUAAAUCAAAGUCCUAGUUUUUCCUUGAGAAUUGCUAAAACCAAGUUGAGAUUUAAUUUGCAAAGAGAGAACAGAAGAAAAGCUGCCUUCUAUUUCUUAGUUGGAAGCUGGCUUAUUGUUUGUCAGUCUGACUUUGGGUAAAAGUUCCCCAGUUCCUGUGGCAUCCAAUGGGGGAAAAGUUUUUUACACUACAUUUGCUUUUUUUUAAUUUUUUUUUUUUUUUUUUACGUAAGCUCUCUGUCCAAUGUGGGGCUUGAAUUUAUGACUCUGAGAUUAAGAGUCACAUACUCUACCGACUAAGCCAGUGAGGCGCCCCUACGUUUGCUUUUUUAAUAGUUAAAUCUGAGACUUUUCUCCCUUACUGCAAUCCCCAACUGAGGUAUAUCAAGGUAUCAAGAGGUAUCUGGUAUCAAGAGGAGCCUGGAGAAGCAGGGGUGGUGGAAAUACAGGUUUUGCUUUUGGAAUACCUUUAACAAAGGUAUUUGAAUUUGCACGUGUUACCAAGAAAUGGAGUUUCCUCUUCCGUUAAAGUUCUUAUGUAUAAUCAUGGUAUGCAUCUGAUUCUGAGCCAAAAUGUUAUAUUUUUAAAUGCUCUGGUAACAAAUGAGCUUUUUUUCCCUCUUCUUCUUCUUCUUCUUCUUUUGAAAGCCCUUACUGAACUGUCACAUAUUUUGGGAAGUUUCCCAGAUGGUGGUGUAAGGAAAAUUCUGCUUCUUGUAAUCUUCCUGCUGCAGUAGUUGGUAUAGGGGUUGUAGUGAAGGUUGUUAACGACCGCAGAUAUUAAGGACAUCACCUUACGGGCUGUAUCUUAGGAUAUCUGAAAGUCAUGAAGAAGAUAUUACUGACUUCAUUGAUCCCAGAGAGACAGGCAUCUUGUCAGUACCGGUUAGUUGAUAUUUCCAGCGUGCCUUCCGGGAUUGGAAUCACUUUUUCUAGGAACACAAAGAAUACAAAUGAAACUGAAGAAACUCGGUCUUUUACUUAAAUCACACUUCCACCUGGCCUCGUGGAUCAUUGGCCCCUAACCUGUUGUCUAUCGCCAUUACUGCAGGUCUUCUGUUAGAUGUAUCACUGUUGAUGUUGACCUUGAUUUGGCUGAAGUAGGGUCUCUCAGGUCUUUUGACUAUAAAGUUACCUUUUCUUUCCCCCGGCCCAUGCUGGCCUUUUGGGAACGAAAUCACUAUGCGUAGCCCCCACUUACAGAGCAGGGAGUUAUGCUCUACCUCCUUGAACAUGCAGUAGGUACAUAAAUUAAAGCAGUACUUUUAUAAGCUGGCAAUAGAAAAUUUGAAACCAGAAUUAAAACGGUAUCAUCACAAAACCUAAUGUACACAAAACUAUCAUCUUUAAAGUGCUUAAAAUGCCAGUGGAAAUCAAGGUAUGCCUAAAUGAAUGGGGAGACAUAUUCUUGAAUUGGAAUACGAAGAGUGAGGAUGUCAGUUCUUCUCAAAUUGUUUAAACUCAAUUCCAGUAUAACUCUCUACAGGAUUUUUUUUUUUUUCUGGAUAUACACAAACUGAUUCUAAAAUUUAUCUGAAGAGGUAAAGGAGCUAGAAAACAGAAAAGAAUUUUGCGAAAGAGGAGUAAGUUUGGAGUAAUCACACUAUCCAAUUAUAAGACUUACUGUGAAGUUUUAGUAACUUUAUUAGUCAGUUUUCCCCAAAGACACAACUGAUAGGAGAUAAGUUUAAGGAAUUGGCCCACACAGUUGUAGAAGCUGGUAAGUCCAAAAUAGGGUAGGCCAGUGGGCUGGAGACUACGGAAGAAUUGAUGUGGUAGCUUGAGUCUGAGGGGGUGGUUUGCAGACAGAAUUCCCUCUUCCUCUGGGAUCAGUGUUCUGUUUUGUUUUUUCUUGUAAGACCUUAACAUUUAAUGUUAAUUUCUUCCAGAAAGUACCUUCAUAGCGACAUCUUGACUCAGGUUUGACCAAAUAUCUGGGAACUGUCACCUAGUCAAGUUGACGCAUAAAAUUACCCACCAGGAAUUAAGACAGUGUGGUAUUUGUGAAGGGUAGACAUGCAGAUCAGUGGGACAUAAUAGAGAAUCCAGAGAUAAACUUACACAAAUGUGAGCGAUUGACUUUUGAAAAUGGCUCAGAUGCAGUUUAAUGAAAAAAGGAUACUUUUUUCAACAAAUGGCAUUAAAACAAUUGAACAUCAGGGGCGCCUGGGUGGGUCAGUUUAGCAUCCGACUCUUGGUUUCUGCUCAUGUGAUCUCAGGGUUGUGAGAAUGAGCUCUGCACUGGCUGUGGAGCCUGCUUAAGAGUCUCUCCCUCUCCCUUUGCCCCCCCCCCCCGCUUGCUCUCUCUCUCAAAAAAAAAAAAAAGAUAAAAAGAAAAUAAACAAAACCAAUUGAAAAUCUGUGCAACAAAAGAAACCUCUAUGUAAACUUAACAUUCUAUACAGAAAUAAACAUCCUAGAUGUAAAUUUAAAAUAUAAAAUUAUAAAAAUUUUAGAGAAAACAUCAGAGGAAAUUUUCAUGACCUUCUGUUAGGCAAAGAAUUCUUAGACAUGACACCAAAUGCAUUAUUCACAAAAGAAUGAUCACUUAGACUUUAUAAAAUUUUUUUUUUAAGAUUUUAUUUAUUUGAGAGAGAGAGAGACAGAGCAUGAGUGAGAGGAGAGGGAGAGGGAGAAACAGGCUCCCCUUUGAGCAGAGAGCCUGAUGCAGGACUGGAUCCCAUGACCCUGAGCUCAUGACCUGAGCUGAAGGCAGACACUUAGCCGACUGAGCCACCCAGGCGCCCCUAGACUUCAUCAAAAUUAAACACUUUUGUGAAAGAUGUUAAGACAAUGAAAAACCAAGCUUCAGGAGCACUUGGCUGGGUCAGUUGGUGGAGCAUGUGACUCUUGAUCUCGGGGUUGUAGGCUCAUGCCCCAUGUUGGGUGUUGAGAUUACCUAAAAAUAAAGUCUUUGAAAGAAAAAAAAGAAAAUCCAACCUACAGAUUGGGAGAAAAUAUUUGCAAAUCACAUAUCUGACUAUAUUCUAUAUAAAUUAUUCUCAAAAUUCAACAGUUGGAAGCAUAAAAUCCAGUUAAAAAAUGCACAAAAGAGGGCCAUAGAUGAGAACCCAUUGAGGUAAUAACAUCCUCAGUGCAGAAAACCGGAGCUUUUCCUCUUUGGUCUGGAACAAGACAGGGAUGUCCACUCUUUAGCACUGUUACUUAACGUAGUGCUGAAGUCCUAGCCACAGCAGUCAGACAAAAAGAAAUGAAAGGCAUGGCGCCUGGGUGGCUCAGUCAGUUAAGCCUCUGACUCUUGAUCUCAGCUCAGGUCUUGAUCUCAGGGUUGUGAGUUGAAGCCCUGUGUUGGGCUCCACACUGGGCAUGGAGCCUACUUAAAAAAACAAAACAAAACAAAAUGAAACGAAACAAAAGAAAUAAAAGGCAUCCAAACUGUCAAGGAACAAGUAGAACUUUCACUGUUUGCAGAUGACAUGACUAUACAGAAAACCCUAAGGAUUCCACCAAAAAACUGCUGGAACUGAUAAACAACUUCAGUAAAGUCGCAGGAUACAAAGUCAGUGUACAGAAAUCUGUUACAUUUCUAUUUACCAAUAAUGAAGCAGCAGAAAGAGAAAUUAAGGACUCAAUCUCAUUUACAAUGACACCAAAACCAGCAAGGUACCUAGGAAUAAACCUAACCAAAGAAGUGAAAGACCUGUACUCUGAAAACUAUAAAACACUGAUGAACGAAAUUGAAAAUGUCACAGAGAAAUGGAAAGACAUUCCAUGGUCAUGAAUUGGAAGAACAAAUACUGUUAAAAUGUCUAUACUACCCAAAGCAAUCUAUCAAAAUACCAACAGCAUUUUUCACAGAUCUAGAAUAAGCAAUCCUAAAAUUUAUAUGGAACCACAAAGGACCCCGAAUAGCCAGUGCAACCUUGAAAUAGAAAAAUAAAGCUGGAGGCAUCACAAUUCUGGACUUCAAGUUCUAUUACAAGGCUGUAGUAAUCAAAACAGUAUCCAAAAACUAAUGAUGUAAUGUAUGGUGAUUAAUAUAACAUAAUAAUAAAGAAUGAUAAAAUUUAUUUUAAAAAAGAAAAAAAAACCAAUAUGGUACUGGCACAAAAAAUAGACACAUAGAUGAAUGAAACAGAAUAGAAAACCCAGAUAUGAACCUACAACUAUAUGGUGAAUUAAUCUUCGACAAAGCAAGAAAGUAUAUCCAAUGGGAAAAAGAAAGUCUCUUUCACAAAUGGUGCCGGGAAAACUGGAGAGCAACAUGCAAAAGAAUGAAACUGGACCACUUUCCUAUACCAUACACAAAAAUAAAUAUACAGUGGAUGAAAGCCCUAAGUGUGAGACCUGAAACCAUGAAAAUCCUAGAAGAGAACACAGGCAGCAAUUUCUUUGUCAUUGGCCAUAGCCGCUUCUUUCUAGAUAUGUCUCUUGAGGCAAGGGAAAUAAAAGCAAAAAUAAACUGUUGGGACUUCAUCAAAAUAAAAAGCUUCUGAGCAGUGAAGGAAAGAAUCAACAAAACUAAAAGAUAACUAUGGAAUGGGAGAAGAUAUUUGCAAAUAACAUAUCAGAUAAAGGGUUAGUAUCCAAAAUAUAUAAAGAACUGAUCAAACUUAACACCCCCCAAAAUAAGUAAAACUUAACAUGCAAAAAAAUAAUCCAAUUAAAAAUGGGCAGAAGACAUGAAUAGACAUUUUUCCAAAGAAGACAUACAAAUGGCCAACGGACACAUGAAAAGAUACUCUGAUCACCUGGGAAAUGCAAAUCAAAACCACAGUGAGCUAUCACCUCACAUCUGUCACAAUGGCUAAAAUCAGCAACAAGAAACAACAAGUGUUGGCAAGAAUGUGGAGACGGGGGACCCUCUUGCACUGUUGGUGGGAAUCCAAACUGGUGCAGCCACUGUGGAAAGCAGUAUGGAGGUUCCUCAAAAAGUUAAAAACAAUCUCAGCUCAGGUCUUGAUCUCAGGGUCGUGAGUUCAAGCCCUGCACUGGGCUCCUUGCUGGGUGUGGAACCUACUUAAAAAAAAAAAAAAGUUAGAACUACCCUACUACCUAGCAAUUGCACUACUAGGUGUUUACCCAAAGGAUACAAAAAUACUAAUUCAAAGGGAUACAUGAACCUUGCUGUUUAUAGCAGCAUUAUCCACAGUAUCCAAAUUAUGGAAAGAGCCCAAGAGUCCAUUGACUGGUGAAUGGAUAAAGAUGUGGUGUGUGUGUGUGUGUGUGUGUGUGUGUGUGUUAAAUGGAAUAUUACUUGGCCAUAAAAAAAGAAUGAAAUCUUGCCAUUUGCAGUGACAUGGAUGGAGCUAGAGAGUAUAAUGCUAAGUGAAAUAAGGCAGAGAAAGACAAGUACCAUAUGAUUUCACUCAUACGUGGAAACAAGAAACAAAACAAGCAAAGGGGAAAAAAAGAGGCAAACCAAGUAACAGACUCUUAACUCUAGAGAACAAACUGAUGGUGACCAGAGGGGAGGUUGGGGGGGGCAUGGGGAAUGGGUGAAAUAUGUAAUGGGAAUUGAGGAGUGCACUUGUGAUGAGCUCCGGAUUUGGUAUGGAAGUUUUGAGUUACUAUAUUGAACUCCUGAAACUAAUAUUACACUGUGUGUUAACUAACUGGAAUUUACAUAAAAACUUUUAAGAAUGCCCAAAAGAUUUGAAUAGAUGUACCGCUAAAGAGAAUAUACAGAUGGUAAAUAAGCAAAGGAAAAGAUGUGCCACAUCAUUAGCUUGUAGGGAAAUGCAGAUCCAAACCGCAAGGAGAUACCACUGCCUGCCUAAUAAAGAGGCUAAAAUGAAGAAAUGGUGACAACAGCAAGUGCUGAUGAGGGUGUGGAGGAAGCAGGGCUCUCAUGGUCGCUGAUAGAAUGGGGAAUGGUACAGCUGUGCUGGCAAAAAAGUUGGCCGCUUUGUUACGAAGUUACAUACAGACUUAACAUAAGACCCAACACUCCCAAUUCUUGGUAUGUUUUCUAGAGAAGUAAAGACUUAUAUUCACCCCAGAACCGAUACAUGAAUGUGUAUGCUGCUCUGGUCAUACUGGCCCCACCUAGAAACAUCUCAAACGUCCUUCAGUGGGUGAGCGAAUAAACAGAUGGUGACACAUACAUACCAUUGAACACUGCUCAGCAGUAAAAACGAAGGCAACAGGCAUCUUACUGAGUGCAAGACUUCUGUCUCACAAGGUUGUGGACUGUAGGAUUCCAUUUAUAUGAUACUCUCAGAAAGAUAAAUUCACAGUGAUGGAGAACAAAGCAAAGUUUACCAGGGUUUGCGGGGUGGGAGGAGGACCCAGUACCUACAAAGAGGUCGAACGAGGGAGGUUUUUGGUUGUGAUGGAAUUGUUCUGCAUUCUGAUCGUGGUGGUGGCAACUCUAGUUAAUACAUUUGUUAAAAUUCGCCGACUGUAUGCUCUCCAAAAUAUCAGUUUUAUUGUCUGUCCAUGAAAAGACAGCUCAUAAUAAAAAGAACACAUUAGGAUCAGCACACAGUUAAGAUAGUGUAUUUAUCGAUGUUGGUGACUGUUACUCACGUACAGUUAUUGCUCUGUAGCCUCACAUUGUGUAGAUGCAGCCAAUGGGCAUUCCGGUCUGUAUCCAGGUUCUCUCUUCCAGGAACAGCGCUGCUCUAGGCAUUUUGUACACGAGUCUUCAGGCACACGUGCAAGGGGAGAUUCCCCAGAAUAUCGAUGUAGGAGUGGAUUUGUUGGGUCGUACAGUUGCAUGUGCCAACUUUUCAAAAGAAAAAUUUCUUUGUAAAGCAGUUUACACUCUCUUCGCAGUCAAUGAGGUUUCCCAGUUGUAUACAUUCUUGGCCACACUUGAAUUUGUCUGACUUCUAAAGUUUUCUCAUUGGGGUGGGUUUGAACUGAGAUCUCAUUGUGGUUGAACAUAGUUUAUGUUUAGAGGCCAUUUGUUUCCCUUAGAAAUUUCUGGGUGCGUUUUUGUUGUUGUUGUUGCUCACCUUCCUAUUUUUUUGUGAGUUUUUUUAUUGAUUCUUAAGAGUUCCUUAUAUAUUUUAGAAACAAAUCCUUUGAGUUAUACGUGUUGCAAGUAUCUUCUAGUUUGUGGCUUAUUUUAGUUUCUCUUUUUUUUUUUUUUUAAAGAUUUAUUUAUUUGAGAGAGCAAGAAUGAGAGAGAGAGAGAGAGUACAUGACGGGGGGAGGGUUAGAGGGAGAAGCAGGCUCCUUGCUGAGCAGGGAGCCCGAUGCAGGACUCGAUCCAGGGACUCCAGGAUCAUGACCUGAGCCGAAGGCAGUCGCUUAACCAACUGAGCUACCCAGGAGCCCCUAUUUUAGUCUCUUUAUGGCGUUUCUAAUAUAGUCAGAUCCAUCCAUCUUCUCCUUCAUGAUUGUGCCUUUGUUUCUUGUUCAAGAAACCUGUAUCUUGUAUCCUGAAGUCAUAAAGUAUUCUACUGUAUCAUCUUUGCAAAGCAUUAGGGGUUUGCCUUUCGCAUAUGGGUCUUCAAAUCCCUAGGACUUGGUUUUUGAGUAUGGGGUGUGGGGUGAGGCCAGUUUCACUUUUCCCCCUAUGGGUCAACCUGUCACCACAGCAUCUGCAUCCAGACAUCUCACUUUUCCCACUGAGGAACCUUGAUACCUCUUGCCUGUCAGCUUCCAUACAUCGUGUCGGUCUGUGUGUCGGUCUAGUUUUGUGCAGCUGUCCAGUUCCUUUCGGCUGUUUAUUCAGUUCUUUUGCCAUUACCACACUGUCUUAAAUACAGUUUAAUAACAAAUUUCCGUAUUUGGUAGGAAAGAUCUCCUCGAUUAUUUACAUGAAGACAGUGAUUACAUUGCAAAUAAGGACACUUUUGUUCUUCCUUGCUUUAUCCUUAAUCCUUUUUUCCCUUUUUCCUGCCUUACAGUACCAGCUAGGACUUGCAAUACACUGUUGAAUUGAAGUAGUAAUAAUGGGCAUCUUUGUUUUGCUCUAAAUCCUACAGGAAAUGCUUUCAAUGUAAACAGCUAUUUUGGAGACACCUUUAUCAGGUUUAGGAAGUUCCCUUCUAUUCCUAGCAGGCUAAGAAUGUUUUUGUGUGUUUUUUUUUUUUUUUUAAAUGAUGUUGAGUUUUAUCAAAAGGUUUUCUGUUCUUUUUGAGAUAAUCAAGUGAUUUUUUUUUCUGUGAAUGGCACAAAUUUCAUUAAAUGCCUUAGUUGAUACUUUAAUGUUAAGCCAACCUUGCAUUCCUGGGAUAAAACCCAAGGUUAUGAAUUAUUACUCAGUUUAGUUUGCUAAUACAUUUUUUUUUCAAAUUUAAAAUGCUGUUAUGUGGGCGCCUGGGUGGCUCAGUUGGUUGGGCGACUGCUUUCGGCUCAGGUCAUGAUCCUGGAGUCCCUGGAUCGAGUCCCACAUCGGGCUCCCUGCUCGGCGGGGAGCCUGCUUCUCCCUCUGACCCUCCCCCCUCUCAUGUGCUCUCUCUCUCUCAUUCUCUCUGUCUCAAAAAAAAAAAAAAAAAAAAAAUCUUUAAAAUGCUGUUAUGUAAGAUGCAUUCCUAUUUCAGGGAUGUUAUACAUAUAUAUUUUUAAUGGCUAAUGAUGAUCAUAGAUUGUAAAAUGUAUUGUGGUUUCAGAGAUGUAUAUUUGAAAAGUUAUAUCUUAAUGUCAAUUUAAUGUUCUAUUGUUUUGUGUUUUAUAUUUGUGUUCGUAAGUGAACUUGACCUACAAUUGUCCUUUCUCAUUCUUUUCUUGUCAAAGUUAGGUAUUAAGGCUGUGCCCCAUGAUAAAAUGAAUUGAGUAAUGUGCUUACUUUUUCUAUCUUGAAUAGUUGAUGUAAUAAUGUCUUUAUUUUAUUCCUGACUUCUUGGUUGAACAAGCCUACAAAGUCAUAAAGUUGUAGCAUUUUAACUCCUGAUAUAGUUUCUUUAAUGCUUAUGAAACGAUUCAGGUUUUCUAUUUUUUUUUUUAUUUUGAAGUUUAUUUAUUGAAGUAAUGUCUACACGUAAUAUGGGCUUGAACUCAUGACCCUGAGAUAAAGAGUCACAUGCUCUUCUGACUGAGCCAGCCAGCCGCCCCUCUGUUUAUUUUUGAUUCAGUUCUUUUGAGUUUGCUUUUUAGGAAUUUGUUCAUUUCAUCCGUAUGUCCAAAUUCAUUAGCAUAAAUUAUUCACGAUAAAUUCAUAGUAUGUGUUUGUUUCAUCUAUGUGGCAUCCAUAGUUGUGUCCUCUUCAUUUGCGCUUUUGUCUGUUUGUAUUUCAUUCUUUUUUUUCUUUAUCUUUCUCUCUUAAAGAUUAGUCAGUUUCAUUAUUCUUCACAAAGAAAUGAGUUUUGAUCCCAGCAUUGUUCAUUCUCUUUAUCACUUGCUCCCUAUUGCUUUCGAAUUAUUUCCAUACUUCUACUUUCGGUUGAUUUUACUGACUUUUUAAUAUUUCUUAAAAGGGAUGUUUAGCAUAUUAAAUUUUGGUCUUUUCCCCUUAAAAAUUGCACUUGCUAGAUAAUAAACCUAACUACAUGGUGCUUUACUUGAAUCUUGUAUAUUUUUACAUGCAGGGUUUUCUUUAUUAUUGUCUUACGAAUUUUGUAAUUUUUAGCUGUUUUUUUCUUUUACCCAUAACCAUUUAGAAGUAUCAUUCUGAAUUUUCGAACAACUAAGAUUUGUUAUUGAUUUUGAUUUCUGAUAUAAUUGAAUUGGGGUCAGAGAAUGUGGACAUAGAGUGCCAGUCUUUUGACUUUGUUGAAACUCGGUUUAUGGCUUCUUAUAUUAUCAUUUUUGGUGAACAUUACAGGUAAGCUUGGAAAUAAUGUGUAUCCUGCAGUUUUCGCAGCGAUUCUCUCACACACAAGGUUUGAGAUCACUGCUUCAGAGGGACCGUGUUCAAGUGCUGCCAAAGGAGAAAGACAAAGGCCGAUUUGCUUUAACUGUUAUUAGUGGGACGAUACUGAGUCACAUGGGGUCAUUAAUAUGAACUAUUAACUUAGAACUUUUCAAUGCUUUCAACAAUAUAUUGAGAUGACCACUAUUUUUAGUGUGCCUAUAAAAACAUUCUUCUUUAAUAGGCAGAAUUACAGUUUUACUAUUAGAUAAAAUGACUGAGGAGCCCUUAUAGGAAAAGCACUGGAAAGAAAAAAUAAAUUGCUUUCUUGAUUUGUGUCCACUUUUAUUUUUUUUUGUUUUGUUUUGUUUUUUACUAAUGUUAUAGUAUGACCUUGGUAAUAAAAGCAACAAGCUUUACAGUUUUCAUUGUAGACCAGUGAUGGAAUUAAGAGCCUAGCUCCCAGAGUCAGACUGCCUGACUUCCAGUCUUGUCCUCCUCUACUCAGUAGCUGUGACCUUUCUGUGCCUCAGUCUCCUGAACUGAGGAUGCUGGUUGUACCCCCUGUAAAGUGUUAUUUGGGGAGUAAACCUUAUUAAUUGUGCUCCUAAUAGUAGUUGAUACAAUAUAACAUUUUCUCUACUACACACUGCUCUCAGCCUUUACCAUAACGUAAUUACAUCCUCACAACAACCCUAUGAGGGUUUUUCAGUUUAGGGAGCCUUAGAGAAAGGCAUCGGGAUAGCAGUGAAACCUUUCCACAGCUGCUGACUUCUGUUCCUGAAGUCGGGAAAUCCUAACCCCGAGAGCUCUGUGAGGAUGACAGAGGUUUGCGGGGAACUAAAUGGGGAGCGUUUAACAGAGGAAGAGGAGUGGGUUUCUGAGGGACUUCAAGGCCGUUAAAGAUCAUUUGAGGGAUGCCUGGGUGGCUCAGUCAGUUAAGCGACUGCCUUCAGCUCAGGUCAUGAUCUCAGGGUCCUGGGAUUGAGCCCCGCAUUGGGCUCCCUGCUCAGCAGGGAGUCUCCUUCUCCCUCUGCUGCUCCCCCUGCUUGUGCGUGCUCUCUCAUGCUCUCUCUCUCUCUCACAAAUAAAUAAUAUCUUAAAAGAGGAAGGAUCAUUUGAUUUCCAUCCUUUACAUAUUAGUCAGCUUGGACUGCUGUAACAAAAUAUCAUAGACUAGGUGGCUUAAAUAAUAGACAUUUAUUUUCUCACAGUUCUGGAGGCUGGGAGUCCAAGAUCAAGGUGAUGGCCAAUUCGGUUUCUGGUGAGGGCUCUCUUCCUGGCUGCAGAUGGCCACUUUCUCAUGGUGUCCUCACACGGCCUUUCUCUCUGAGUGCUCACAGAGAGAGAUUUCUCCCUCUUUCUUCUGAGACCACAAGCCGUAUCAGAUUAGGGCCUCAUCCUUAUGAUCUCAUUUAACCUUAACUACUAAAGAUUCCCCUCUCCAAAUAUAGACGCAUUGAGGGGUAGGACUUUCACAUAUGAGUUUUGGGGGAACACAAUUUACUCUGUAGCAUCGCACCACCACCCCAAGGAACAUAUAAUAUAGCAUCUUCUAAGACUAAAUAUGUUUCUACUGCCUUCUAGUAAGUGUCAGGUUGUUGUUGUUGUUUUUGAAGUUAUCACCAGAGUGAUUAGGUUCAUAUUUAUAUCACCAAGAGGCUUAUUCCAGAGUAUUUGGCAUUUCUGUAGGCAGAGAGGUGGUAUUAUUUUGCUAAAAUAAGGCAGACUGUGCCCUCAGAGUAUGUCUUUCUGUGUACUGGGAGAUAUGUGCAGUUAGGCAGAUGUACAAAUCUGAUAUCUUCAUGUCUCAUAUUCUACAUUUUUGAAUAAAUAGAUAUAGUCUAGUAGUCAUUCAUUUAACAAAUGUGUAAUUAUCCUGCUGUAGGCCAGGUACUGUAGCUAGGUUUUGAUAAUAUAGCAAAAAGUGUAAUAGAACAAGGUCCUGCCUUUACUUUACGGAAUAUAUAUUAUAGUAGGGGGGACACGUGCUUAAGAAGUAAAUAAAGAAGUAACUUAACAAAUGUCUGUGUACUGUGAAGGAAACAUACAGAAAGGUGAAGUGACUGAGAUUAGCAGUCUUGGAGAAAAUUUGAGAAAAGUGAUAGGAAAGAAAGAAUGUGAGCCAAGGAACGAUCUCAGAGACAAACGUUUGGACAAAGGGGCUGAAAUACAAAAUACAAAGGCCCACUAGUUAGAAUAUUCUUGGCAAGUAGUGUAAGGGUGAUACCCACGGGUUCUGGGUCCCACUGCCUGGAAAUGCUCAAUAAAUGUUAAAUAUUGCUGUUUCUGUAGUCAUUAUGGUCCAGAUAUAACUGCAAUAAACGAAACUUUUUUUUUUUUGCCCAAAUGUAGUCUUGUUGGAAGCUAAAUUGUUACAGGGAUCAGCUUGCCUCCCAUCUCUUCUCUGAAAAUCAAGAUUUAUUUAUUUUAGAGAGCGAGCGAGGAGGGAGAGGGGCAGAGAGAGAAAGAAUCCUGAAGCGGAUCCCCCCCGCCUCCCUUCACUGAGCACAGAGCACAAUAUUGGGCUUAAUCCCAAGACCCUGAGAUCGUGACCUGCGCCCAAACCAAGAGUUGGAUGCUUAACACAUUGAGCCACCCAGGUGCCCCAGCAUGAACUCUUUCUUAACACGAAGGCUGAACUACUAGUGAAUAUGAAAUUAAGAUACCAGAUGCAGAGACAUAAAGAAGGAGAUCCUAAUAAACUGUUCUCAAGCAUCUUCUCCAGGUACCUGUAUUUCAGAAGCCUGAGUAAAUGGGAAUGGUGAUGGGCACAUCAUCAGAAAUUCUGAAUAGUUUGUUUCCCUAGUUUCAGUUAUGUAAUAAGUGAAAGUAACAAAGUUAAGUUUCUGUAGGUUUCUAUUAAAUAGUUAGUCAAUUCAUUUACUCCUUUAGGUUUUAGGUAUUUCAUUAGUCUGAAUCAGGGACCUUUUCCCCUGAUGUGUGUGUUGUGUGUAUUGAAGGGGUUGCAGAGAUAAUAAUGUGAGGUAUCAGUCUGAGGAGACGUGACCAUUUUGACUUGAAUAGGUAAUAAUUGUUUCCUGUGAAACUUUUGUAUUUCAUUUAGUCUCCUGUUUUCGCAUUUCAUUUGCAAAUUGGAAAAAAUUUAUAAAUUUUGGGAGGACUUUAUUAGGAGAUUAGUAUUGAAAUGCUCUUGGGCCAAGAAAACUGCCUGGCAUUAAUUUCAUAAUUUCGGAGCAUUGCUAAAUCAUUCUUUGAAGGUUAAAAUUAAUAUUUGAAAGUAAUAAUUAAGGCCGUGGCUGCCAGGACUAAUUGAAAUUUUUGUAGACAGAAAAUGUAUGAUCCCAAAUGUCAUUACUUAUUCAUGAUAUGUCUUACUAAUAAGAGAUUAUUCUGGCUUCAGUUGUUCUCAUACUGUUUAUAACAGGACAAGAUUUGUUUAAUGAUGUUCAUUGUACAUGAAGUGCUAUUCAUUGUAUAUACAUACUGCAUUGUAAUUAGAAGAUAAUUACAGACAAACAUUAUUAUUUUUGAAUUGGAAAAAGUAUCACCUCACUAACAUCUGGGGCAUUCUUAAAGCCACUGUGCUUUUCUUGUAUAUCUAAGUACUGGUUAGAUUUGGUUUAUUUAGCUGAUGAAAUCAGACCAAAAAAAUCCCAACCCAAGGAAGUAUGGCCAUAGGCAGGAUAGUGUGCUCAUAGAAUUUUUUGUCUUCUUUAGAGUUUGGACUCCUUCAAUGGAGAGAAGGUUUAAUGAAUUUAGCCCCAUAGUUGAGAAGCAGAACUCUGGUAGUUGAGUAUGGUUCUAAUCCUGGUGCUGCUAACUAGGAUUACUAACUAUCCCUGUGGCAGGUUUCUCUGCCUGUACCCUCAUAGGCUUGUUUCAGGGAUUAAAUGUGUGUUGUUAAUAAAACAUUUAGGAUCACCAUUGCCUCAUAGUCCAUGAAUAUAAAUGACUUUUAAAUAAAUAAAAAAAAUUCUAGGCAAUAUUUAUUUAUUUAUCUUUAUUUUUUUAGGAUUGAUUAUUUGGGAGAGAAAGAGAGAGCAAGCAUGGUGGGGAGGAGCAGAGAGAGAGGGGGAGAGAAACUCAAGCAGACUCUGCACUGAGUGCGGAGCCCUACUUGGGGCAAUUGCACGACCCUGAGAUCACGAGCUGAACUGAAACCAAGAAUCGGAGGCUCAACUGAGCCACCCAGGUGCCCCCAGCUAUAUUUAUUUUUAAGCUUUUUUGAAAAUACACCUGGCAAACAUUUUUUCUUUCAUUGUUGUUGAAUAGAUGAUAGAUCAGCAAUAUUAAAGAAAAAUUUAAAAGUAAUUAUCCAUAUAAAGAAGAUGUGCUAUAUAUCCGAUGGAGUAUUACUCAGCUGUCAAAAAAAUGAAAUCUUGCCAUUUGCAAUGACGUGGAUGGAACUAGAAGAUAUAUGCGAAGCAAAAUAAGUCAGUCAGAGAAAGACAGUUGUUACAUGAUUUCAUUCAUAUGUGGAAUUUAAGAAACAAAACAGAGGAGCAUAGGGGAAGGGAGGGAAAAAUAAAACAAGACAGAAUUCAGAGAGGGAGACAAACCAUAAGAGACUCUUAAUCAGCCUGAGUGGCUCAGUCGGUUAAGCGUCUGCCUUUGGCUCAGGUCAUGAUCCCAGGGUCCUGGGAUCAAGUCCCACAUUGGGCUCCUUGCUUAGCGGAGAACCUGCUUCUCCCUUGGGCUGCUGCUCCCCCUGGUUGUGCUCUCUCUCUCUCUGACAAAUAAAUAAAAUCUUCAAAAAAAAAAAAAGAGAGAGCCUCAAUCAUAGAAAACAAACUGAGGGUUGCUGGAGGGGAGGGGAGUGAGAGGAUGGGGUAACUGGGUGAUGGGCAUUAAGGAGGACACGUGAUGUAAUGAGCACAGGGUGUUAUACAAGGCUGAUGAAUCACUGACCUCUACCUCUGAAACUAAUAAUACACUAUAUGUUAAUUAAUUGAAUUUAAAUAAAUUUUAAAAAAUCAGUAAAAAAUAAUUAUCUGUAUAACCAAUUUUUAAAAAUAAUGUUUGCAUAUUAUUUUCUAAUUAUUAUUUAUUUGUAUGCAUAUUUUAUAUUAUUGAAAUUGUAAUAUAUAUAAUAAUCAGUGUAGGCAACUGAAUUUGAUUGGCCCAUCCUGGUCACGUGCUUGCUCGGGAGUGGGUUGGGCAUAGCGGUUGCAAACGUAGCCACAAGGGAGGGGGCGUGGGGUGCUAAGCAGCCGAAGAAACAGAAGUGCACUGUCACGAACAGUGGUCUUUCUUGUCCAGAAGUGUAUGUUUACUAAACAGGUAGAGUUGUGGUGGCAGGAUUCCAUCUCCUUCAGGGAUUUGAGCGGAGAUAACGAUGUGUCAGCAAGAGCGGUGGGCUGAAGGGCCAAGGGAAAGGCAGUCUUGUCCACUGGUCUGAGCUGAACGACCUUGGACAAGCUUGAUGUUCUUUUUUCCACCCCUAAAUUUAUCCUGCUUUAAGCUAUAGAACUGCUUUUUGAUAUUUUUGUUUUGACAUAAUGCUUGUUUAAGAUGGGAUGUCAGGAUAUUGUGAGUUUUGCUGUUCUCCCCCCCCAUCCCAUAUAGUUGUUAACAGUGUGAACAGAACAAGUAAGAAGUAUGUUUCUCAAACUUGCCCUGUAGCAGUUUGCUUAAAGAAAUGAUCUCUACAAGGAAGGAAUGCAUGUGUCCAAUUUUUUAAAAAGUGAAAAAAUGAUUAACUUUUUUAGCAAUCAAAAACACAUGAGGGGGCACCUGGGUGGCUCAGUCGUUAAGCGUCUGCCUUGGGCUCGGGUCAUGAUCCCACGGUCCUGGGAUCGAGCCCCGCAUCGGGCUCCCUGCUUGGCGGGAAGCCUGCUUCUCCCUCUCCCACUCCUCCUGCUUGUGUUCCCUCUCUUGCUGUGUCUCUCUCUGUCAAAUAAAUAAAAAUCUUAAAAAAAAAAAAACAUAGCUUCCUGGGCUUGUCCCAGAGAUUCUGAUUUGUUAAGUUGAGCUGGGGCUCACACCAUGAAUUUGCACUUCCAGCAGGCUCCCCGUUAAUAUCAGCGCUGCUGGUCCUCAGACCACACUGGAAGAACCACUAUUCUCCAUCUACUGGGUAUCACAGGCAAGCUUUUCUUAUCCCUCCAAUCUCAGUGUUUCUGAAGAGAAGAGAAAGAAAAAGCAACUUUUGAGUUCUUAUUCUGUCCCAGAUGCUUAGUUAUAUGUAUAGCGUCACUUCAUUUUCACAAACAUAAAGUUGUAUAAUCUCUAUUUUCUGUGAGGCUGUGGAGGCUCAGAGAGACCAAGUAAUUUGCCCAGAGCCGCACAGCUUGUCUGUGUUAUGACUGGUUUCCUGAGUUAAUGCCAAAGCCUAUUGUAACUCAUAUUAUUUUCCUUAAAGUAACUGCAAAGCAGGAUAGAAUUUGGGGCAGUGGAGGGAGCCUUCACAUCUGUGAUAAGGAACACUCAGAUUACUCUGAUGUUAGAGAUUCUCCAUUCACCAAGACCUAAAAUAUGGCAUUGUACCAAGUGGAUUUCAGAGAUUUGUAAUUGGUAAAAUCUCCUCAACUUUUUGCUUAAACAUGUAAAAGGAUGAUAUUAAAAAAUAAUGAAAUUUUAAAAGUUUAGGGUCAGGCUGGAAAUGGUACAGAAAUUUCUGGCAUGCUUUGCUUAGGAUUUCAGUUAAAUCUUAUUCUGAGAGAUUUGGGGCAAUGUUAAAACAAAGCGUUGUCCAAGUUAUUUCUUUUAAGUUCUGUUUUCUGAAACUUUGUAAAGACGAACAUAAAAGCAUAUCAAGGCAAGUAUAAGAACAAUAAGGUGAAGCAUAUUUUUUUCAGUGGUGAAAUAUGUAUUUGCACAUGCUAAUGAGUUUCAUUGUUCAAUAUGAAUGGGAACAGCCUUUAUAAAAUGAAUAUUUAGAAUGAUUGUACUGACUAAUCCUUUUGUUUUGAGUAGUUCAAAAAACUAAAAGUAGGUUAUAAGAAAUUUUAGAACUCUGUGAAAUUAUAGCUCUGCAGUUAGUUGAUCUUACUGAAACCGCCCGUAAACUCCGUUUCCCUGGCAGAGUACAAAAAAUACGUGGAGUGGGUGAGACUGUGGCUGUCCACAGUGCUUGAGGUGUUCACAUUGCCCCCGUUGGGUAAAAAUACCUGUCCGGGCAAAACUGUGUGUUGCUGUUGUUGUUUUAAUAUAAAGUUCUACUGAAGAAUAUUGUUACAGACAGACAAACCUACAGCAAGGAUUCAUUUGGGAUAAAGGCCGGAGAAAAGGACUAUGUUACUGACGUUCUAAGCACCUCAGUACAUACUUAGUCUGCCUAGUGGCUAAUCUGGAAUUAACUUUAGAAUCUCACUCUUCAGGGCACCUGGUGGGUGGCUCAAUAGGUUAAGCGUCUAUGCCUUCGGCUCAGGUCAUGAUCCCGGGGUCCUCGGAUCGAGCCCCGCAUCGGGCUCCCUGAUCUGCAGGGAGUCUGCUUCUCCCUCUCCCUCUGCCCCUCCUCCUGCUCAUGCUGUCUCUCUCAAAUAAAUAAAUGAAAUCUUAAAAAAAAAAAAAAAAAAGAACCUCACUGUUCUGUUUUUAAACAUUUUUUUGUUAAAAAAGUACACACACACACCCCACAUAAAACAAACAUAUUCUUAAUGAAUUGUUGUAAAGAGAGUACCCUUCUAACACCACCCAGGACACUAGAACUUUGCCAGCCACCCCAGAAACCUUCCAUAGCCCUUUUCCAUAAAAUCCGUUAUCGUGAUGAAGCUACAAACACCAUGGACUGAUUCUUUUUUGAAAAAAUGCCCUCUUAGUAUUUUUUAAUCCGCAGCUUUUCUCCUCUUCCUUUCUUUUCUGAUAGCAUCCUCAUUGUACAAUUCCAUAUUUCUUGUGAAUUGGUAGAGAUUUGUUCAAAUUCAGGAUAUAUAUGUGUGUGUGUAUAUAUAUAUUUAUGCCCCCCCAUACAUACAUAUGGAUAUUUUGGUGGUGGAAAGCAUACAGCAUUUGAGAUGUUUCUCAGUGAGAUUGAGAAAGGGAUCAGUAUUUGAGCCAUUGAUAUUCAGUGUCUAGAUCUGUGAAUUGGGUGUUGUAAAAAAUGAUGCUCUCAUUCAGUCAUUCUCAUGUAUUUGUUAGCCGGACUGUUUCUAUAAAGAAGAAUUUCCCUUCCCCUACUCCUUGGUUAUGUAGUAGUACAGAGAUCAUGGCUGGCUUCUGGGGUGCUGGGACGUAUUAUUAGUGGUAGGAUUCUCUGGGCCAUCUGGCGAGAGCCGUUUGAUAGACACAUGUUUUGGUUCUUGGGUUGGACAAGGAGCCAGUGGUCCUGGCCUGCAAGUUGUUAGUUACUGGUGAACCCUUUUUUCAGAAGACUGGACUCUUUUCUUUAAGCUACCAUGUGGGUGUGUGUUUGUUUUAUCUAUUCCUGUUUGUUGGCAGAUCUAAAGCCUUAUUUUGCUGUAUGAAACCAUUCAAUAUCAUUUGGUCCUAUCUCUUGCCUCCAGCGGGUUAGGUGCAGAGAUCUCCCAUCUUACACAGAGUUUAAAGUCAUCACAGAGGCCAAAGUUGUCAAUUAAAAAAAAAAAAAGAUUUUUAAAACAAUAAUCUCAAAAAUUAAAUCUUUAAGUAAAUAUUUGUGUAUAAGCCAUCCAUAUAAACUGGAAUCUAGAAUCAGGAUGUAUUAAUGCCGUUACUUUCCGCAACGUUUCACAAAGGACAAUGGGGAUGGAGACACAUUGUUUCUCUCUCUUGGACUCUGGAAAGUAUCAGUAUAGUUUAGACUUACUGAUAUACAGAGAUGAAAGUUAUCUGUUCUUGUUUCUCUUCUAAGAAAGAAAAGGAUUUAACAUUUAUUUCCUUUAGGUCUGCUGUUUUGUGUAUAUUAUAUAUUUUUUAUCUUCAAAAUAACUUUAGACUGUUGGUGUUAUUUACAAAGCUCAGAGAGGUUAAGUACCUUGCCCGAGGUCACAGGGAUGGAGAAUGGACUGGCUGGGAUCCAAGCCCUGCUUCAAGGCCUGGGUGGAGCCCUCUGUGCUUCACACCUCUCAGGAAAAGGAAUAUGAAGACUGAGUAGAUACCAGAUACUUUUUCAUGGUAACCCAGCUAAAAUGUUCUGUUUCUGUGUGUUUAUUUCCUUCUGGUUUUAAGAGACACUGUAAUUCUAUUUAUAACUAAGAUAAUUAAACAUUUAAAAUGUGUGUGCCUACUUAAAAAUGAUUAUUGUUAUUAAAGGAAAAUAUCCAUCCUAUAUUAAUGUUAUUUUGAUGAAACUUAUAAUUGAAAAGUCAGUUUUUAGGAAUUAUUAUUGCCCUACAAGUAAUCAUGAUUAAUGGGCACGCUAUGUUAAUGGCGACUUAUGGUAGCUUUUAAACGCAAAAUAAUAAAUUUUAAAAAUCCAAAUCAUCAUUUAAUACUGUUUAAAUUAGACGGCAUUGUAAGUAUUAACCAUAAAGUAUGCAAUUAAAAUAUUACACUUGGUGGUUAAUUCUUAGACCGCAUUCAUUUGAUCUUUUUUUGCUGCAUUUAUAUUUGUGUAACAGUUGAAAGCCUGGGCUUUGGAGAUCGUCUGUUUGAAUCUGGCUCUGUCCCUCCCUGACUGUGUGAUUUGGAGCUAGCUACCUAACCUCUCUUGGGCCUCAGGUUCUUCCUCUGUGAAGUGAUAGGAGGACCUAACUCAAAGGUUUGUCAGUGAUGAUUCUGCGAUUAGAAACCUGCUCAAAAUGUGUUAACUGUGACUGUGAUUACCUUGAAUUGGGAAGACUGGCUCACGUGCCAUUCCUGAAGAUUUUGGUCCCCAGGGAAUAUCUUUUUUUUUUUUUUUUAUGAAACAAUUUACAUGGUCAGCUGCUUUUGCUACAUUCUCACCAUCCUGGCUAAAUACUCAUUCUUUUUUUUUCUAUAAGAUUUUAUUCAUUUAUUUGAGAGAGAAUGAGAUAGAGAGAGCAUGAGAGGGGGGAGGGUCAGAGGGAGAAGCAGACUCCCCGCCGAGCAGGGAGCCCGACGCGGGACUCGAUCCCGGGACUCCAGGAUCAUGACCUGAGCCGAAGGCAGUUGCUUAACCAACUGAGCCACCCAGGCGCCCUAAAUACUCAUUCUUAUAAACAUAUAUUGAGCCUGUGAAUUGGGCUGGGAGCUGCUGAUACAAUGAUAACGCAGUGGGCUGGCAAAGAGCUCAGUCCACUGGGGGGAGAGAAUGAAUGAUUUUCACAUGUGGAAACAUGUUACAGGGAGUAAAGGGAGUAGUUCUCUCAGUUUAGGAUGAAUUUUAUCCUUGGAGACGCUUGGAGGGUUGUAGAUGUCAUCUUUUCAACUACUUUUUCUCUCUUUUUAUUUUAGAGGAAAAUAAAAGAGGAAACACAGUUUUUAAUUUUUCUCAUUUGAGCUGGGCUCUUGGUUUUGUGGAACUGGACUGCAAUGACAAGAAUUUCUUUUUUAGGGGCGCCUGGGUGGCUCAGUCACUUAAGCAUCCAACUCUUGAUCUCAGCUCAGGUCUUGAUCUCAGGGUUGUGAGUUCAAGUCCCGUGUGGGGCUCCAUGCUGGGUGUGUAGCCUACUUUAAAUAAAUAAAUAAAUAAAUUGAAGAAGUUCUUUCUUUUUUUAAAAAAAUUAACUUUUAAAAUUUAGACGUGAUUGACCUGUAUCAUGAUGUUAGUUUCAGGCGUACAACGUAAUGAUUCAGUAUUUGUGUGUAUUCAAUAUGUGUGUGUAUUGCGAAAUGAUCACCGUAAGAGGUCUAGUUAACAUCCAUUACCGUGCAGCUGCCCCUAGAGAAUAUCUUGAAAUGUUCUUGAAGCCCUUGUCCUGAAUGAAGAGGAAAGAGAGGUCACGUACAACCUUUGAGGUUUCCCCAGUGCUGGAUUUCUGGACUCACCAGCAGGAUCUCCAUUUCUGUAACAAAUGGAUACAUCUUCAGUAGGGAUGCACCCUUUGUUACUGCUGUACUCUGAACAUGUAGCAAUGUUUCAUUAAUUUCGAUUUAUCUAAUGAAACAAUUCUUUAUCAUUUGAACUGGAUGAGAUGGAGUUCACCCUUCUGUCUGCUUGCUGACUCACCAUCAGUCCCUCCCCGGCUGGGAUAUAUUAUGCUGCCAGGGGCACCGUGCCCCCUUGUGCUGCCUUCCCUACACUCUGGCCCCUUCUCUCAGACCAUAAACACCAGUUCUCCCUGGGCCAUUUUUGGGUUUUAUGCUUCUUUGAGGACUGUCAUCCCUUCGAUACCUCUAUGCUCUCACAGCUGCUCUAGCCCAUUGUACUAUAGAAUCAGCAUGUGCCAAAGGUACUUGCAAA